rnacentral:rRNA from 1 species
AUGUAUAUUCCUACAACAUAAUGUUAAUGCAUAAGUUAUAGUUAAGCGCGCUCGAGCUAGAGUAGUACUGGGAUGGGUGACCACCCAAGAAUUCCUAGUAUUUUACAUG